rnacentral:rRNA from 1 species
UACGUAGGGGGCAAGCGUUGUCCGGAUUUAUUGGGCGUAAAGAGCGUGUAGGCGGCUUUGCAAGUCCGUUGUGAAAACUCGAGGCUCAACCUCGAGACGCCGGUGGAAACUGCAAAGCUAGAGUCCGGAAGAGGAGAGUGGAAUUCCUGGUGUAGCGGUGAAGUGCGCAGAUAUCAGGAAGAACACCCGUGGCGAAGGCGGCUCUCUGGGACGGUACUGACGCUGAGACGCGAAAGCGUGGGGAGCGAACAGG